rnacentral:rRNA from 1 species
AUUGAACGCUGCGGCAGGCUUAACACAUGCAAGUCGAGCGAGCGGCGGACGGGUGAGUAAUGCUUAGGAAUCUGCCUAUUAGUGGGGGACAACAUCUCGAAAGGGAUGCUAAUACCGCAUCCUAAUAGAUGAGCCUAAGUCGGAUUAGCUAGUUGGUGGGGUAAAGGCCUACCAAGGCGACGAUCCGUAACUGGUCUUAGCGGAUGAUCAGUACCACUGGAACUGGGACACGGUCCAGAAUCCCACGGGAGGACGCAGUGGGGAAUAGUGGACAAUGGGCGAAAGCCUGAUCCAGCCAUGCCGGGUGUGUGAAGAAGGUCUUCGGAUUGUAAAGCACUUUAAGCGAGGAGGCGUUACUCGCAGAAUAAGCACCGGCUAACUCUGUGCCAGCAGCCGCGGUAAUAC